AUAAAUUUUAGUAUAAAAUUUUAAUUAUUUUAAAAAUAAUUAUUUAUAUGGGUAGUAAUUAAUAUUAAAAAUUUAAGAAAUUAAGAUUUAGUAAUAUAAAAAUUAAUAACUAAUUUUGUGCCAGCAGUUGCGGUUAUACAAAAAUUAAAUUAAAUUGUUUCAGUUUAUAAUAAAUAAUAUUAAAUUAAAAUAAAUAUUAAAUUAUUAGGUGAAAUUAUAAUUUAAUUAAAUUUUAUAUUUAAAUUAUGAUUUAAUAAAUUUUAAUAUAAACUAGGAUUAGAUACCCUAUUAUUAAAAAUUAUUUAUAAUACUAAAAUAGUAAAUGAUUAUUUAUUGAAACUUGAAUAAUAUGGCGGUAUUUUAGUUCAUUUAGAGGAAUCUGUCUAAUAAUUGAUAAUCCACGAAUAAAUUUACUUAAUUUAGUAUUUUGUAUAUCAUUGUUAAAAAAAUAUUUUUAAAUAAAUUUAAUAUUUAAAUUUUUAUAUUUAAAAUUAAUUCAGAUCAAGAUGCAGAUUAUAAUUAAGAAUAUGAUGGAUUACAAUAAACAUAUUUAAAUGAAUAGUAUUAUUAAAAAAUAUACUUAAAAGUGGAUUUAAAUGUAAUUUUAAUUAGUUUAUUAAAAUGAUUAUAAAUUAAAAUAUGUACAUAUUGCCCGUCACUUUCAUUUAAAAGUUGAAAUAAGUCGUAACAAAGUAGAUGUACUGGAAAGUGUAUCUAGAAAGAA
rnacentral:ncRNA from 1 species